rnacentral:rRNA from 1 species
GACGAACGCUGGCGGCGUGCUUAACACAUGCAAGUCGAACGGAAAGGCCCUGCUUUUGUGGGGUGCUCGAGUGGCGAACGGGUGAGUAACACGUGAGUAACCUGCCCUUGACUUUGGGAUACUGCAGGAAACUGGGGCUAAUACCGGACAGGAGCUUCUGCCGCAUGGUGGGGGCUGGAAAGUUUCGGCGGUUGGGGAUGGACUCGCGGCUUAUCAGCUUGUUGGUGGGGUAGUUGCUUACCAAGGCUUUGACGGGUAGGCGGCCUGAGAGGGUGACCGGCCACAUUGUGACUGAGAUACGGCCCAGCCUCCUGCGUGAUGCAGCAGUGGGGAAUAUUGCACAAUGGGCGGAAGCCUGAUGCAGCAUCGCCGCGUGCGGGAUGACUGCCUUCGGGUUGUAAACCGCUUUCGCCUGUGACGAAGCGUGAGUGACGGUAAUGGGUAAAGAAGCACCUGCUAACUACGUG